rnacentral:SRP_RNA from 1 species
GCCAGGUGUGGUGGCGCACACCUGUAAUCCCAGCUACUCGGGAGGCAGAGGCAGGAGAAUCGCUUGAAUCCAGGAGGUGGAGGUUGUGGUGACCCGAGAUUGCACCAUUGCACUCCAACCUGGGUGACAGAGCAAGACUCCGUCUCAA